UCAAACUGGAGAUGGCGACCGGCGCACGGGUGAGUAACACGUAUCCAACCUGCCGAUAACUCGGGGAUAGCCUUUCGAAAGAAAGAUUAAUACCCGAUGGCAUAAUAGAACCGCAUGGUUUGAUUAUUAAAGAAUUUCGGUUAUCGAUGGGGAUGCGUUCCAUUAGGCAGUUGGCGGGGGUAACGGCCCACCAAGCCUUCGAUGGAUAGGGGUUCUGAGAGGAAGGUCCCCCACAUUGGAACUGAGACACGGUCCAAACUCCUACGGGAGGCAGCAUG
rnacentral:rRNA from 1 species